GGAUAAGUUCUUUUCCAGCAUAGUUGGUCCUAAUGAUAGAGAAGAGCAGUUCAUGUUUAAUGUGCUUUUAAGAGGAAAGUGUUCCAGGAAUGGAUCCAAGUUUCCAGAGUUUGAUAUAUUUUUGCUGCUGUUCGAGGAAAACUUCCUCCUCUCAUGUGAAGAGAUAAGGUUUGUUGUUGGAGUUCUCUUUGUGAACAAGGAAAUUGGACUGGCCAGGUUUGUGAAAUGUCUCUGAACGGAUAUUCCAUGGUAGCUGAGAAGGGAUUUAUUUGCAAUUAUCCGUGCUGUUGUCUCAGCCGAUUUAAAGGGCUUUAUUGGGGUAGAAAUCUCAAAGGAGAAAUAAUCCUUGUUCCCACCAUUGUUGCCAUGGUGAUGUGCCAUCAGUUCUAUUGCCAGGAGGAAUAGAAGAGGUGAAAAUGGACAACCUUGUUUGGUGCCUCAGCU